rnacentral:rRNA from 1 species
GACGAACGCUGGCGGCGUGCUUAACACAUGCGAGUCGAACGGAAAGGCCCUGCUUGCAGGGUACUCGAGUGGCGAACGGGUGAGUAACACGUGGGUGAUCUGCCCUGCACCUCGGGAUAAGCCUGGGAAACUGGGUCUAAUACCGGAUAGGAGCCAUUUUUAGUGUGAUGGUUGGAAAGUUUUUUCGGUGUAGGAUGAGCUCGCGGCCUAUCAGCUUGUUGGUGGGGUAAUGGCCUACCAAGGCGGCGACGGGUAGCCGGCCUGAGAGGGUGGACGGCCACAUUGGGACUGAGAUACGGCCCAGACUCCUACAGGAGGCAGCAGUGGGGAAUAUUGCACAAUGGGCGCAAGCCUGAUGCAGCGACGCCGCGUGGGGGAUGACGGCCUUCGGGUUGUAAACUCCUUUCGCUAGGGACGAAGCUUUUUGGGACGGUACCUAGAUAAGAAGCACCGGCUAACUACGU